rnacentral:rRNA from 1 species
UACGGGGGGGGCAAGCGUUGUUCGGAAUUACUGGGCGUAAAGGGCUCGUAGGCGGCCAACUAAGUCAGACGUGAAAUCCCCAGGCUCAACCUGGGAACUGCGUCUGAUACUGGAUGGCUUGAAUUCGGGAGAGGGAUGCAGAAUUCCAGGUGUAGCGGUGAAAUGCGUAGAUAUCGGGAGGAACACCAGUGGCGAAGGCGACUACCUGGCCUGUUCUUGACGCUGAGGCGCGAAAGCUAGGGGAGCAAACGGG